UCCGGUAUAGUGUAACGGUUAACAUAUCGCGUUUUCAAAAGAUCAGCUUUCGCCGGCCCGAUCGAAGGAUCCGCGGGGCUCGGGGUUCGAUUCCCCGUACCGGAG
rfam:Coniochaeta ligniaria NRRL 30616 unplaced genomic scaffold CONLIGscaffold_8, whole genome shotgun sequence.